rnacentral:rRNA from 1 species
AGAGUUUGAUCCUGGCUCAGAUUGAACGCUGGCGGCAUGGUUAAAGCAUGCAAGUCGAACGAGAAGCGGGCUUCGGCCCGUGGACAGUGGCGAAAGGGUGAGUAACGCGUUCCUUACGUACCCCAAGGUGGGGGAUAGGUCGGAGAAAUCCGGCGUAAUACCCCAUGUACUCUACGGAGAAAAGGCUUCGGCCGCCUUGGGAGCGGGGAGCGUCCCAUCAGGUAGUUGGUGAGGUAAAGGCUCACCAAGCCAAAGACGGGUAGCGGGUGUGAGAGCAUGGCCCGCCACAUCGGGACUGAGACACUGCCCGGACUCCUACGGGAGGCUGCAGCGACGAAUAUUCCGCAAUGCGCGAAAGCGUGACGGAGCAAUGCCGCGUGCAGGAUGAAGCGGCUUCGCCGUGUAAACUGCUGUCAGGGUGUAGGAAUACUGACCAUACCCAAAGGAAGGACCGGCUAACCUCGUGCCAGCAGCCGCGGUAAUACGAGGGGUCCAAGCGUUAAUCGGAAUCACUGGGCUUAAAGGGUACGUAGGCGGCCCUGUAAGCAUCUCGUGAAAUCCCACGGCUCAACCGUGGAAUUGCGGGGUGAACUACAGGGCUUGAGGCAGGUAGAGGUCGUCGGAACGAUCGGUGGAGCGGUGAAAUGCGUUGAUAUCGAUCGGAACGCCGAAGGAGAAGUCAGGCGACUGGGCCUGUCC